GACGAACGCUGGCGGCGUGCCUAAUACAUGCAAGUCGAACGCAGUGGGGACGGGUGAGUAACACGUGGGUAACCUCCCAUCAGAGGGGAUAACACUUGGAAACAGGUGCUAAACCGAUCCUGAUGGAUGGACCCGCGGUGCAUUAGCUAGUUUGGGAGGUAACGGCUCACCAAGGCCACUAUGCCUAGCAGACCUCAGAGUGUGAUCGGCAACACGGGGACUGAGACACGGCCCAGACUCCUAAGGGAGGCAGCAUGAGGGAAGCGUCGGCAAUGGAGGAAAGUCUGACCGAGCAACGCCGUGUGUGCGAAGAAGGUUGUCGGAUCGUAAAACUCUGUUGUUAGAGAAGCGGGAUCUAACCAGAAAGCCACGGCGAAUUACGUGCCAGCCGCCGCGUAAUAC
rnacentral:rRNA from 1 species